rnacentral:rRNA from 1 species
ACUCCUACGGGAGGGCAGCAGUAGGGAAGUCUUCCACAAUGGGCGCAAGCCUGAUGGAGCAACACCGCGUGAGUGAAGAAGGGUUUCGGCUCGUAAAGCUCUGUUGUUAAAGAAGAACACGUAUGAGAGUAACUGUUCAUACGUUGACGGUAUUUAACCAGAAAGUCACGGCUAACUACGUGCCAGCAGCCGCGGUAAUACGUAGGUGGCAAGCGUUAUCCGGAUUUAUUGGGCGUAAAGAGAGUGCAGGCGGUUUUCUAAGUCUGAUGUGAAAGCCUUCGGCUUAACCGGAGAAGUGCAUCGGAAACUGGAUAACUUGAGUGCAGAAGAGGGUAGUGGAACUCCACGUGUAGCGGUGGAAUGCGUAGAUAUAUGGAAGAACACCAGUGGCGAAGGCGGCUACCUGGUCUGCAACUGACGCUGAGACUCGAAAGCAUGGGUAGCGAACAGGAUUAGAUACCCUGGUAGGAUAGCG